rnacentral:misc_RNA from 1 species
AGAGCAAUGGAUAGACGGCGCCCCGGGAGAAAUCCUGGGGGCCACCCGACUUCGGUUGGGUUUAGAGUCGUCAGGCCUCUCGGAGAAGCCUGGUCCAGACCUCCACCCUUGAAUAAAUUACCUUUGUUGCUUUGGCGGGCCGCCUCGUGCCAGCGGCUUCGGCUGUUGAGUGCCCGCCAGAGGACCACAACUCUUGUUUUCAGUGAAGUCUGAGUACUAUAUAAUAGUUAAAACUUUCAACAACGGAUCUCUUGGUUCU